rnacentral:rRNA from 1 species
UACGAGAGGUCCAAACGUUAUUCGGAAUCACUGGGCUUACAGAGUUCGUAGGCGGUCCAGAAAGUGGGGUGUGAAAGCCCUCGGCUCAACCGAGGAACUGCGCUCCAAACUACUGGGCUAGAGGAAGAUAGAGGUGAGCAGAACUGAUGGUGAAGCGGUGAAAUGCGUUGAUAUCAUCAGGAAUACCGGAGGCGAAGGCGGCUCACUGGGUCUUUUCUGACGCUGAGGAACGAAAGCUAGGGGAGCAAACGGG